AAAUACAUAGUUACACCCAAUCAAAAAAAUCAGCAGAUGACAGGAAUUAGUCUUAUCUUUCACAAACCACUGACAUAUUUUAUACUUCCACCACUCUGUCAGCAGCACUAAUCAAACACAGGAGUAAGAACAUUACUUGUUUGAAUACUGUUAUUUACAAUAAAAUGAACUUAUUUGAUAUUUAGAUUUUAGAAAGAAAAAAAAAAGCUCUGCAUAAUGAAGACUGGGAAUGGCUUGGCUCUAGAACAGGGGUGUGCACAAACGCAGCUUUGAAAAUAUGUAAAAUAGAUGAUUUGACAGAUUAAUUUAGUUUGGAUAAUGCACAAAAUGUCAACAUUUUUCACUUAUUUGAUACAGGUUACUUGUUCUCCUGCAGCCCCAUUUCCACUCAGUGGAGCAGUAUCUGACAGGAACCUUCCUAUAGAUGUAGACAUUCAGAAUUAAUACUAUGUGCAAAUACAAAUCCUACUGCUGCAAAAAACACAAGCAGGUUGUAGAAUAAAGACAAAGAAAGAAAUAAACAUGUUCUCUGAAGCUCAGUUGAAUGUUUACUCCAGUCUUUUGUAUCAGUGUGUCCUUACCUUUCCCUCCCCGUUCUCAUGUGCAGGUUACUGACGCCUCUCACCUGGUCUCAUCUGGUCUCAUCUGGUCUCAAAUGGUCUCAGAUGGUCUUGUCUGGUCUCUCUGAUGGUUCUUCAGUCCCCAGGCUCAGCCAUUUCUCUCAUGUGUAUCACAAAGAGAAAUUUGUUUUUGAGAGUGAGAACCUACGUAGAGUGUAUCCACCCACCUGUCUGUCUGCCCAUCCAUCCAUCCAUCCAUCCAUCCAUCCAUUCGAAAUUGGUGCAGCAGUAACUGGUGACCAAGUACAGAAAUAAACAAGAAGUUGAAAAGAUACGUUUGACAGCUUUCCAUAAAGAAUAAGACAGGGGUCUGGAGGUCCAACUCUGCUCCCCGGAUUCAUUUCUCCUCCUCAGGCUCUAGACACCCGAAGUGACAUCUGUCGUUUUUUGGCCUGAGCACAUCAUCCAGCCAGACUGGACCAGUACCUUCACCAAACUGGCCUGCAACAGACACUGCCUGAGCCGUCUCACAGCCCAUCUGUCUGCAAACCACUUGUGC